UAGGGAAUCUUCCACAAUGGACGAAAGUACUGAUGGAGCAACGCCGCGUGAGUGAAGAAGGGUUUACGGCUCGUAAAACUCUGUUGUUAAAGAAGAACAUAUCUGAGAGUAACUGUUCAGGUAUUGACCGGUAUUUAACCAGAAAGCCACGGCUAACUACGUGCCAC
rnacentral:rRNA from 1 species